UUUUUCGAAAAUCGAUGUUAACCUUAAAUUUUGCCUGAUGAAGUUGUGAAAUACAACGAAACGUUGCAACAUUUAAAAAAUUUAACACUGAGUUAUUUUU